rnacentral:lncRNA from 1 species
UGCCCUUUAGCCCUUUUAGUAAGACAUGAAUUUUUCUUUACGUUGUUUCUUCCCUAUAAACAAAAUUAGCAUAAGGUUGUGUCCUGCGCAUGUAGCUAAUACUUUAACAAAAUUAGCAUAAGGUUGUUCCCCGAGCAUGUAGCUAGUACAUUAAAAAAAUUAAAGUAAGGUCAUGUCCCGCGUAUGCAGCUAAUAUUUUAACAAAAUUAGUAUAAGUUCGUGCUCCGCGCAUGCAGCUAACACUCAACCAAGUUAGCGUAAGGCCGUGCACUGUGCAUGCAACCAACACUCGACUAGUAAAGCCAAACACACAGUGCCAAGACCUCAAAUGGCAGCAUGUCAAGAUCGUAAGGCCCCGAUCUCUUCGAUCCUAGAAUGCCCUCAUAACAAAGAAUAUUAAGAUCGAGGUUAGGACUCGAAACAAAGUUUAUCAUAUAAGACCAUACCCGAUCUUAUCCACAAGCCCGAGUUUAUCCAUUAAAUCGUCAGCGACCUAAUGGUCGCCCCUCGAUAUGGGAAAUUGAAAAAUCAGUUUACAGUACACAACACUAUUACUCGAAUUUGUUGACCCCAAACAAGAUGUUCCUACUCGAAGCUUGAAAAUACAUUUUCGAGCUUAGAAAUCGAAGCCCAAUCUUCAAAGUAAAAAGAACGAUUUGAUUCAGUAUUAUUAAGGUAUACAAUAUCCUCAAUCUAUCACAUACCCGGGCUAAAUAUGUCAACAUUCGAGUUAGUAAUACUAAUAAUCAAUCUUUUAACGAUCCAUGAGCGAUCCUAACAUCCACACACGAACUUAAAAUUCAUGCACGAUCUCAUAACACAGGUAAGUUGCAUGAACUAUACAAACGAUCAAACUAGUGAUAAAUAACCAUCAUACGCGAUCUUAUAUAAAUAGAAUAGAAUAAACCAACGUCGAUCACAUUUCAAAAAUAGGCAAUAGGCCUCA